rnacentral:ncRNA from 2 species
ACAAAGGCCGCGCCCUUGGGUGCCCACAUCGGGCGCGCAAGAGGGAAGCCGGUGGAAGACCGGCGCGGUCCCGCCACUGUGAGUGGGCAGCCACGCCCAUGAGCCAGGAGACCUGCCCAGGGGUCCGGGCGCCC